rnacentral:sRNA from 1 species
AAUUAAACCUGACUGGAGCGGUAUCCUUUUUGGCUUCAGUUAAUUUUUAUGUUAUAAUAGAUCUUGCCAAAAAGAUUUAGCGGAAGGCAGGACUGAAC